rnacentral:rRNA from 1 species
AGAACGAACGCUGGCGGCACGCCUAACACAUGCAAGUCGAGCGCCCAGCAAUGGGAGCGGCGGACGGGUGAGGAACACGUGGGAAUAUGCCUUUCGGUUCGGCACAACUGCGGGAAACUGCAGCUAAUUCCGGAUACGCCCUUACGGGGAAAGAUUUAUCGCCGAAAGAUUAGCCCGCGUCUGAUUAGCUAGUUGGUGAGGUAAUGGCUCACCAAGGCUUCGAUCAGUAGCUGGUUUGAGAGAACGACCAGCCACACUGGGACUGAGACACGGCCCAGACUCCUACGGGAGGCAGCAGUGGGAAUCUUGGACAAUGGAGGAAACUCUGAUCCAGCGAUGCCGCGUGAGUGAUGAAGGCCUUCGGGUUGUAAAACUCUUUUACCAGGGAGAUAAUGACUGUACCUGGAGAAUAAGCUCCGGCUAACUUCGUGCCAGCAGCCGC